rnacentral:snRNA from 1 species
GUGCUCGCUUCGGCAGCACAUAUACUAAAAAAAAAAAAAAAAUUGGAACGAUACAGAGAAGAUUAGCAUGGCCCCUGAGCAAGGAUGACACGCAAAUUUGUGAAGCAUUCCAUAUU